rnacentral:tRNA from 1 species
GCGGAUGUGAUGAAAUUGGCAGACAUGCCAGAUUUAGGUUCUGGUGCCUCCGGCGUGCAGGUUCAAGUCCUGUCAUCCGCACCA